rnacentral:rRNA from 1 species
GACGAACGCUGGCGGCGUGCCUAAUACAUGCAAGUUGAGCGCUGAAGGUUGGUACUUGUACCAACUGGAUGAGCAGCGAACGGGUGAGUAACGCGUGGGGAAUCUGCCUUUGAGCGGGGGACAACAUUUGGAAACGAAUGCUAAUACCGCAUAAAAACUUUAAACACAAGUUUUAAGUUUGAAAGAUGCAAUUGCAUCACUCAAAGAUGAUCCCGCGUUGUAUUAGCUAAUUGGUGAGGUAAAGGCUCACCAAGGCGAUGAUACAUAGCCGACCUGAGAGGGUGAUCGGCCACAUUGGGACUGAGACACGGCCCAAACUCCUACGGGAGGCAGCAGUAGGGAAUCUUCGGCAAUGGACGAAAGUCUGACCGAGCAACGCCGCGUGAGUGAAGAAGGUUUUCGGAUCGUAAAACUCUGUUGGUAGAGAAGAACGUUGGUGAGAGUGGAAAGCUCAUCAAGUGACGGUAACUACCCAGAAAGGGACGGCUAACUACGUG